CAAAUGUCGAGCCCUGGCUCGGUUUUGGGACUCUGCAUCACCACCAUCUCCUCUGUCUCUCAUGGCAGCUGAGGUGUGAUGGUCCCGUAAUGUGUUGGCGGUGCCUUCCGGAAAGCCCAAAAGGAGCCCUCGAGGUCACGGGGAACCAUGUUGACCGCUUGUAGAUGUGGCUUUCAUCUUUGGGCUGAUUUCCUGAAGGAGCCUUGCCCAAACCCAUGCUGGCACAGGCCGCACUUGCAC
rnacentral:misc_RNA from 1 species